AGUUAAAAAUUUCAUUUAUUUGCACUGUUAAAACUUGCAUGUCUGAUUAAAUAUUUAGACACGUAGCGUAAUACAUGCACCUUAUAUUGACAUACAAUGACUAAUUUUUAACAAUAAAAAUAGAUAAAAAUUUUAACC
rfam:Gossypium arboreum cultivar AKA8401 contig_18798_3, whole genome shotgun sequence.